rnacentral:rRNA from 1 species
CCCUUGAAGACUACGAGGUAGAUAGGAAUGAGGUGUAAGCACAGUAAUGUGUUCAGCUGACAUUUACUAAUCGGUCGAGGGCUUGACCAAA